AGCGAACGCUGGCGGCAGGCUUAACACAUGCAAGUCGAGCGGGCGUAGCAAUACGUCAGCGGCAGACGGGUGAGUAACGCGUGGGAACGUACCUUUUGGUUCGGAACAACCCAGGGAAACUUGGGCUAAUACCGGAUAAGCCCUUACGGGGAAAGAUUUAUCGCCGAAAGAUCGGCCCGCGUCUGAUUAGCUAGUUGGUGAGGUAACGGCUCACCAAGGCGACGAUCAGUAGCUGGUCUGAGAGGAUGAUCAGCCACAUUGGGACUGAGACACGGCCCAAACUCCUACGGGAGGCAGCAGUGGGGAAUAUUGGACAAUGGGCGCAAGCCUGAUCCAGCCAUGCCGCGUGAGUGAUGAAGGCCCUAGGGUUGUAAAGCUCUUUUGUGCGGGAAGAUAAUGACGGUACCGCAAGAAUAAGCCCCGGCUAACUUCGUGCCAGCAG
rnacentral:rRNA from 1 species